CGGUGGAGCAUGUGGUUUAAUUCGAAGCAACGCGAAGAACCUUUACCAGGUCUUGACAUCCCGAUGCUAUUCUAGAGAUAGAAAGUUACUUCGGUACAUCGGUGACAGGUGGUGCAUGGGUUGUCGUCAGCUCGUGUCGUGAGAUGUUGGGUUAAGUCCCGCAACGAGCGCAACCCCUAUUGUUAGUUGCCAUCAUUCAGUUGGGCACUCUAGCGAGACUGCCGGUAAUAAACCGGAGGAAGGUGGGGAUGACGUCAAAUCAUCAUGCCCCUUAUGACCUGGGCUACACACGUGCUACAAUGGUUGGUACAACGAGUUGCGAGUCGGUGACGGCGAGCUAAUCUCUUAAAGCCAAUCUCAGUUCGGAUUGUAGGCUGCAACUCGCCUACAUGAAGUCGGAAUCGCUAGUAAUCGCAGGUCAGCAUACUCGCGGUUCCGAAUACGUUCCGGCCUU
rnacentral:rRNA from 1 species